GACGAACGCUGGCGGCGUGCUUAACACAUGCGAGUCGAACGGAAAGGCCCUGCUUUUGUGGGGUGCUCGAGUGGCGAACGGGUGAGUAACACGUGAGUAACCUGCCCUUGUCUUUGGGAUAACUUCAGGAAACUGGGGCUAAUACCGGAUAGGAGCUCCUGCUGCAUGGUGGGGGUUGGAAAGUUUCGGCGGCUGGGGAUGGACUCGCGGCUUAUCAGCUUGUUGGUGGGGUAGUGGCGUACCAAGGCUUUGACGGGUAGCCGGCCUGAGAGGGUGACCGGCCACAGUGGGACUGAGAAGCCGCCCAGACUCCUUCGGGAGGCAGCAGUGGGAGAUAGUGCACGAUGGGCGGAAUCCGGAUGCAGCAACGCCGCGUGCGGGAGGACGGCCUUCGGGUUGUAAACCGCUUUCGCCUGUGACGAAGCGUGAGUGACGGUAAUGGGUAAAGAAGCACCGGCUAACUACGUG
rnacentral:rRNA from 1 species